UAACGCCAUUCUGUGCAUUAAUUCUGAAUUGCGUAAGGUCUGGAGUAUCUUCCUGUAUAUCUCUGCCAAUAAGUAAGGAAAGAAAUUGCUUCAGCGUGGGGGCCACAGAUUUUCAGCAUCCUUUUUCUGGAUGCUUCACCACCCACAGCUCAAGGCUGGGAGUGAAGGAGGUGCCCUAGAUGCCCUCACCACUGGACGCGCAGAUGGGCGAGGACAAGUUGUAAUUCUGAGCAUUGCAUUAGAAAGGGCCUAAUAAGAGGGAGUGACAUGUGUCUGAAGAAUUACCUGACUGCUGCUAAUAUAGAAAGUUGACUAAAAAUGCAGAAAGCUAUGGCUGAAGCAAGGAUCCAUCACUGAUACAAUGAGAGAAUGAUGGUACCCGGGGAUGUGCUGUUUGUUAAAAGUUUUCAUCAGAGCUGAGUGUUGAAUUUUGUCAUAUACUUUUUCUGCAUCUAUUAAGUAGAUACCUGGAAGACUGUUAUUUACCUCUUUGGGUGUUAAUCCAGGCACAAGCCUUGCCACAGUUUCCCAGUUGAUGGUCUGGUGGAUUCCACAUA